GACGAACGCUGGCGGCGUGCUUAACACAUGCAAGUCGAACGAAGGGGCGAACGGGUGAGUAAUACGUGGGAAACAUGCACUGCUUGUCAGAAUAAGCCUGGGACACGGGGUCUAAUACAGAAUAAAGGAGGAUGGGUUCGCGGCCUAUCAGCUUGUUGGUGGGGUUAUGGCAGACAAAGGGGGUGACGGGGAACCGGCAUUAGAGGGUGCUCGGACACGUUGGGACUGAGAUACGGCCCAGACUCUUCUGGGGGGCAGCGUUGGGGGAUAGUGCACAAUGGGCGAAAGCCUGCUGCAGCGACGCCGCGUGGGGGAUGAAGGCUUUCGGGUUGUAAACCUCUUUCGCUAUCGAACGGGUAGGUGGAUAAGAAGCGCCGGCUAACUACGUGCCAGCAGCCGCGGUAAUAC
rnacentral:rRNA from 1 species